UAGGGUAAUUAUUGCGUCGGGGCUCACCUCUUCCCAUUUCGAACAGAGAAGUUAAGCCCGAUUGCGCAGA
rnacentral:rRNA from 1 species